rnacentral:rRNA from 1 species
CACGUAGUUAGCCGGGGCCUCUUAGUCAGGUACUGUCAUUUUUUCUUCCCUGCCGAUAGAGCUUUACAUACCGAAAUACUUCUUCACUCACGCGGCGUCGCUGCAUCAGGGUUUCCCCCAUUGUGCAAUAUCCCCCACUGCUGCCUCCCGUAGGAGUUUGGGCCGUGUCUCAGUCCCAAUGUGGCCGGUCACUCUCUCAAGCCGGCUACUGAUCGUCGCUUUGGUAGGCCAUUACCCUGCCAACUGGCUAAUCAGACGCGGGCCCAUCCUGUACCUAUAAAUAUUUGAUGGAAAUAUCAUGCGUAUCUCCAUGUUAUGCGGUUUAGUCAGCCGUUUCCUAACCUGUUAUUCCCCUCGUACAGGCGACGUUACCCACGCGUUACUCACCCGUCCCGCCACUAAGUCUUAUACCUUCCAUCCGAAACCUUACCGCACUAACGAACCCCGUUCCGUACUUGCAUGUGUUAGGCACGCCGCCCAGCGUUCAUCCUGAGCCACGGAUCAAACUCU